ACCUCUGUGGUGCAGUAGAUCAGCAUGUUGGGCUGUUAAACAGAAGCUUGGUGGUUCAAGUCCACCCAGGGACA